CUUCAGGACGUGUUGGACAAGCUGGCAGACAAGGGUAUCGCCAUCAGGGUGGCUUCGCCCAAACUAGUCAUGGAAGAGGCUCCGGAGUCGUACAAAAACGUGUGUGAUGUCGUCAACACGUGUCACGAUGCUGGAAUCAGCAAGAAAGCCAUCAAACUACGACCCAUCGCUGUGAUCAAGGGAUAAGGCUGCACCACUCUGCUAGUGACGGCAUUGGCCAUGGCACUCCCUCCAGGAGCCAAUCACCAGGCAGAGAGCUGGCGGAGGAGCCAAUGGGGAAGUGUCUGACUGCGAGUGAGCAUGUCCGUCUUCAUAGACUGACUUGACAAGGGAUCGGUUUCCUCCGCUCCACUUCCUGUUUAUGACCAGUAUGAUUUUUUUGACAUGGGGGGGGUGAUUUGUCCGUUGAGUGAUCAAUUUAAUUGGACCAGAUGGGCUCUUUAAUAUUGUAAAGUUUGAGAGGAUGAAGUGUCUUGGGUUUACAGUUCAUUCAUGGCAAAAUCCCUGUGGAAUAUAACCUUGAGAUUCAGGUCAACCACAGAUAAUAAAAUACAAGACGACAGAUUUAAUGCCUGGUAGUCACUUAGUUCCAACAUCUCAAGACAACAAACACUAAAGCUUCACAUGGUGAGGAGAUGGUUUGGGAUCUCGAUUCUCUGACCAGAUUGAUUUCCCUCACUACCUCUCACCCAUUGGUAGGAGAAACCCUGGUGUCUGGAUUAGUAAACACUUAAUGUUGUUUUGAUGAACCAAUAAAGAUACUCAUGAAGACAGAUUAA